GACAGAGGUUCCAAGCGUUAGGCGGAAUCACUGGGCUUAAAGCGUGUGUAGGCGGAUUUGUAAGUACCUUGUGAAAUCCCACGGCUCAACCGUGGAACUGCUUGGUAUACUGCUUAUCUUGGGCCAUCUAGGGGCGAGCGGAACAAACGGUGGAGCGGUGAAAUGCGUAGAUAUCGUUUGGAACGCCAAUGGUGAAAACAGCUCGCUGGGGAUGUGCCGACGCUGAGACACGAAAGCCAGGGGAGCGAACGGG
rnacentral:rRNA from 1 species